rnacentral:rRNA from 1 species
CCCUUAGAUGUUCUGGGCCGCACGCGCGCUACAAUGGUCUUCGCAAACGGAUGCAUUCUCGAAGGAGAAUGCCAAUCUUGGAAUCUAUGCCUUGGUCGGGACAGUUGCUUGCAAUUUUUCGACUCGAACCAGGAAUUCCUUGUAAUCGUGAUUCAUCACAUCACGAUGAAUACGUCCCUGCCCUUUGUACACACCGCCCGUCGCUCCUACCGAUCGAAGAGUUAGGUGAAUUGUUUUGAUCGAUAAGAUUUGACUAUGGUCAACUCUCGUUGUGAAAUUCUGUGAAUCUGACUGUUGAGAGGAAGGAAAAGUCGUAACA